GACGGGGGAUGGAAGCGUUCUCCGGAAUCACUGGGCGUAAAGCGUCUGUCGGUGGUGAUGCAAGUCACUGGUGCAAAACUCUGGCUCAACCGGAGGAAAGCCAGUGAAACUGCAUGACUAGAGUGUGGGAGAGGUAGAAGGAAUUCCCUGAGUAGCGGUGAAAUGCGCAGAUACAGGGAAGAACACCGGAGGCGAAAGCGUUCUACUGGAACACAACUGACACUGAGAGACGAAAGCUAGGGGAGCGAAUGGG
rnacentral:rRNA from 1 species